ACUUGUCUCAAGAAAAGUUAUGGAAACUGUUAGUGGAAGAUGUACUUCAGCAUUUCCUGUACACAUUGGAAUAUAAUUCUGUAACUCACAUGUGUACUACUUGUGGUGUUAGCAAAGUCUCUCUUCUCAGGGAAUUCUGUAACAAAACAGGAGUACAGAUUACAUUGAAGGAUUACAAAUUUUCCUUGACUGCUCCAUUCAACGAAGGUGAUUGUGCCUGUAUUGUACCUGUUGUUAAGCACACUGAUUUUAAAGUGAGACAAAACUUCAUUUAUUACUGCUUUGUACUGU